GCAUCUGAAUCUUUCCCGCUCCUUGCUGUGAGGUGCAGGACUGGGGACAUGGGAUGCAAAAGCAACACAGAGCAAAUCCAGACAAGUUUCCAUUCCAUUUGAAAGAGACUUGUCUCUACGACUCUGUGACAUUU